rnacentral:lncRNA from 1 species
GAACUGAAAGUUAACCACGUUGUCUACAGUGGUUUAGAAAGUGCAGUUCGCAUCAGUGGCCUAGUGUGCGAUCACUUUGAUGGCAAAGCUGAAGUUGAAGAAUAUGUAAAAAAUAGCGGAGUUAAUAAGUACACCAUUAUCCGACUACCAUGGUAUUAUGAAAAUCUUUAUGAAAAUACUCCUCCACAGAAAAUAUCAGAAAAUAAGUAUAAACUACGUAAGUAAGCAAAACCUAUCAGCUAUAAAAUUCUUUAUUCUUGUUUUGUAUUUUAUUAUAUUUAUAUAAUCACCAUGUAAUUGUUGCUGUUUCCAUGAACUGAUGGCCCUCCUCACACAAGCCUGUAUAUUAAAAAGUCUAAAUGGUAUUGGUUCUUCAGAGAAUUCUAAAGGUUAACUCAUAAGAUUAUACAUCCAGCCAAAUGGUAUAAAGAUUUGUAUCACUCAAUAUUUUUACUUAUUGUUGUCUAAGGUCAUUUAAUCCUACCAUAUCUAGCCCAAAUAUUCUUCUUGCUUUAUGCACAAACAGCUCAGAUCUGGCUUCUCUCACCUAUCCUACAAUAUCAUUCUAAAAACAUCAAUGAGAAUAAAUAAGCAUUACAUUUGACCGAGUAGUCUGAACACUAAAGGGUUAAUAUUACCUCUCAACCCUCAGGCACCCAUCACAGAUUUCACCUUAUUGCAAACAUUCAAGCUAGAUACCAGGUUUGAGAAUAACAAAGACUUGUUGUGUACCCCUCUGUUGGUCGUCAGGUGGUACCAGUGUAGAUAUUUACCCAACAGAAGCUCAUAUAAAAGAUUGCUCUAUCAUUUGUUGUGUAACAUAUAACUUGUUCCUCACUACCUAAAAAAGCACUGGAUUUCAAACUUGGCCAAUGUCAUUAACUGCAACAGUAAACACAAGUGAAAUGUAGAUUGUAAAAUUUUUCUCUUCCCUCUUCUCCAAUAUACACAAUUGCAACUAAUAGCUUUGGCUGUCAAAUUUUAACAUAAGUCUAUUUUACAGUUCUGAACGUCAUUAACAAAAGUUUCCAUAUCUUAUGGCUCAUGGUUUCUCUUUUCCAUGUCUUUAAAUAUAUUGGUGUUUCUAUUGAUCUCCCAGUUCUUUCAUUGCUUGUCUUUAAAGCCAUCAUUCCCCAUGACUUCUCAGCUUCUUUUGGCUAUGACUGGUUUGAAGUAAUAACUGGACAGUCAUGUUUUGCCCAACAAUACUAUCGUCUUUAAUCUCCACCUGUUCAUGCUUACAUGGGUGGGAUGAAGUUUAUUGAAACAGAUUUUCUACAUCUGAAUAUCCAUCCCAUCACGAACCUUCACCUGUUUCCAAGCAAGACAAUAUUUCCUCAUUGCCAGACAUGUUCUCGUAAAAUAUUGGGAAAAAUUACGCUACCUGUAUGACAAACUGAAACAGUUACAUUGCAAAACAAUUGUUGUAACCAUUUGAGAACAGACAAAAACUGUUGUAUGAUUUUCAUUUUUUUCUUAAUCAUGUUGUCUACUGUGAAGUAUCAAAAACUUCUGUCUCGCUUUUGUAACCAGGAUGCUGACACUUCUACUACAUCUCUUUGUAAAUGACCCAGGCAUAAAAAUUACAGUAGAACUUCUUAACAAUUGGGUGUGGAGAAAUAAAUGAAAAGUGAAUGCUGAAAUGAUUCUCCCCUGAUGGAACUGUUAAAAAGUUUUCCUGUAGCAGUGAAUACCUUCCUGACACUGAGUACUAUAUAAAGCUACAUAUAUAGACUUCUCAAAAAUAACCCCAAAUCCCUAGUUGAUUUAAAGUUAUCAAGCCAAUAAAGUAGGGGUGGGGAUGUCCAAUCAACCUGUUAGAAACAAUAGCCAAAUCUCCCUCAAAUUACACUCUGCCGCUAUAAAAAAGAGCUGCAUAGGAAAGUGAAAUAACUGUUACAUUGUGCAUGGAAAAACAGCAUUGAAAGAUGUUUUGAUCUUCCCAACCACAUGGUUCAGUCCCGCUGUGUGGCACCUCAGGCAAGUGUCUUCUACAAUAGCCUUGGGCUGACUUAAGCCUUGUGAGUGGAUUUGGUAGACAGGAACUGAAAGAAGACCAUUGUGCAUAUAUAUAUAAUAACAAACUGUUAAAUAUUAAUACAUUUACUAAUACUAACAUUAAUUUAGCUAAUACCAUCCAACCCUCUAGAAAUAUUAAUAACAAGGUUAUUGUAUCUGGAGUAAAUUCCAAUAGAAUUAAGUUUAUGUCAAGUAACUCUAAGAUUAGAAAUUCUAUAUACCAGUGUAUAAUCAGUACUCGUAAUAAAGUACGAUUUUACAUUGGAAGCACAUCGUUAGAGUUAUCUAAAAGAAUUUCUAUCCAUUACUCAAUAUUUAGGGAUAGAAAUAAACGCAAUAGUACCGGUCUCAGCAAACUGAUUUGGGAUUUAAAAGACCACAAUGAACAAUUUCAUUUAGAAUGGUUGAUUCUCUCAAUUUCGAUACCAUAUGACAAAGGCAAGGAAUUCUGUCUUCUUUGCAAUUCUGAGCUAUUUUUCAUUAUUUUUUCUAAAAAUACUCUAGUAAACACGGUUAUAGAGUGAGCAUACAGAUGUAAGCAUUGGGAAAAACAUACAUUUAGUGCAUAUAAGUAGUUUCUAUCAUUAUAUAUAAUUUAAACUUUAAUUUCCUUUAUAUUUAACAUUCACUAUUGGUAUCCCUACUCUUUUUGUUAGCUACUUAUGACGUUAUAUCAUAUAACGUUUUUUUAAACAAUAUUAAUAGCAUUCUGUCUAUCGCUAUACAAAUCCAUCAUUUUUUGCUAAAAUGUCUUAUUGACAAGUUUCGCUUUUUUCACUUUCCUGAGGAGAAGAUUGCAUUGUUUAUACCAUUUAUUCUUUUGAAUAGUAUCAGUGGAAUUUUCGAAACAUGUGUCGAAAGUAAAAAUAUUUGAUUACAUCUGCGUUAAACUCCAUUUAUUUAUUCAUAUAUAUAUAUAUAUGUACAUAUAUAUAUAUAUAUAUAUAUAUAUAUAUAUACACAUAUACAUACAUACAUUCAUCAUCAUUAUUUAACAUCCACUUUCUAUGCUGGCAUGGGUUAAAUAGUUUGACUGGAACUGGUAAGCCAGAAAGCCACACCAGGUUCUAGUCUGAUUUGGUUUGGUUUCUAUGGCUGGAUGCCCUUCCUAAUACCAUCCACUCCAAGAGUGUAAUGGGUGCUUUUUAUGUGCCACCAGUACAGGUGCUAUUUACAUGACACCUGCAACAGCCAUGACUACAAUUUCAUUUGGCUUAACCGGCAGUGGCCACAAUUAUGAUUUCAUUUGGCUUAAUGAGUCUUCUCAGCAUAGCAUAUUGCAGUCUCAAUCUCUUGUCAUCGCCUCCGUGACUCUCACCAUUUGAAGAUCAUGCUUCUAAUAGUGGUCAUGAUUUCAAUUUCACAAGUGCCAUUUGCAUGAUACAGCCAAUGUCCACAACUACAAUUUCACUUGGCUUGACGAGACUUUCCAAGCACAAGUCAUAGUCACUUGUCAUCGCCUCAUGAGGCCCAACAUUCAAAGAUCAUGCUUCACUACCUUGUUUUCCUGGGUCUACCUCUGUAUGUGUGUCUUUGCAUCUGUGUUUGUCCCACACCAUCACUUGACAACCAGCGUUGGUGUGUUUAUGUCCACAUAACUUAUGAGGUAUUAUCAAAAAAUUCCCAGACUAGUUAUGUUUAAUAAAAAAUAACUUAUUUACCUAAGUUUUAACCUAAUCUCCUUCAAAAUAGUCACCUUACACAAUACACCUGUCCUAGCCUUGCCAUUUUUGGAAUCUGGCCUGGAAGUCAUUUUCCAUGUCAAGAACCUUCUGUGAUUCGCUUUUGAUCACAUUAAUGAUGUUAAAACCAUGACCUUUGAGCUGUAUUUUCCUCUUGGGGAAGUAAUGGAAGUCCUCAGGUGCUAAAUCUGGCAAAUAGGGUUGGUGCAGAAGCAAUACCAUGUUGUUUUAAGCAAGAAAUGCAGUAAAAGUGUAUUGGGUAGAAUUAUCCUUAAAUUUGACUCAGUGUGCAGGUGGCAUAGACAUAACAUACAUUCGAAUAAUUUAUAAGACGCACAUAGCUCUUACCUGCUUUUACAUACAAAUGAAAGCAUGCUUAUACAUCAACAGAACAUAUUGUUUGCUUAUGUGUGUUUGUGUUACAAGAGAAAACAGAUUCAUAGAGACUUAUGUAUACAUGUGCAUACUUAAAACAUUUGUCUAAUAAAUUUGUUCUAUAUGAUGAAGCAAGCUUGAUAUCACAACACUAACAGAAUGGAAGAUAGAGAAGAUAAACAGAUAAAGAUAUUGUUGUAUUUUGGGUAUGGUCAUGUUGCUAGUUUAGAUAGAUAGAUUGAUAAAGAUAUAAGAUAGACACACAUGGAAACAGAGUUGCACAGUUGCGUAAAGUUGAUUUAUUUAAAGAAUUGCAAAAUUAUGAGAAACAAAUGAGAAGAGGUUAUUAGCAAGGUGCAUUGUCACCAAAUGUCCUCCUUCAAACACUUCAAAAUGUUGCAGUGGAAGUCUCAAUUGACAGUCUGGCCCUGGGAGACGAAUUCUCAAUGCACACUACCAUGGAUACUCUCUUUACUCUGUUAUUUGUUUCACUCAUUUGACUGUGGCCAUGCUGGAGCACUGCCUUUUAGUCAAGCAAAUCAACCCCAGGAUUUAUUCUUUGUAAGCCUAGUACUUAUUCUAUCAGUCUCUUUUGCCGAACCACUAAGUUACGGGAAUGUAAACACACCAGCAUCAGUUGACAAGCGAUGUUGGUGCGGGGGAACAAACACAGACACACACAUACAUAUAUACGAUGGGCUACUUUCGGUUUUCCGUCUACCAAAACCACUCACAAGGCUUUGGUCGGCCCGAGGUUAUAGUAGAAGACAUUUGCCCAAGGUGCCAUGCAGUGGGACUGAACCUGGAACCAUGUGGUUCGUUAGCAAGCUACUUACCACACAGCCACUCCUACUCCAAAAAAAAAAGCGAAGAGCAGGCUCCUGAUUGAGCUGCAGUUCUGUUGUGCCUUCUUCAGUUGUGGAGAUGGAGGGCUCUUCCAUUAUGACUACUGCUGCUCCAUCUCAGGGCCGGACUCUCAUCACCUGUGAUGACCCUUGACAUGAAGGCUUGUUCAUCAGCAGCACACUGACAGCAAUCUUGACAGACUUCGACACAAUGUUCUUUCUGCUCAGUAGUCAGCAAGAGGGCAACAAACUUGAUAGAGACUCAUGACAUGUUUAAUUCAGACCAACACCAGCAAUGUUGUUGAUCAUCCUCCAACAAUCCUAAUGCACAAACUGUUAAAUGUUCUCCACAUUUCAAUGGGUGGUGCUAGUGGCAGGUCUUCCAGCUCACUCAUCGUCUCCCAGGGACAUACUUCUACUUUUAAAGUGCCCAUACAGCUCAUUACCAUAACCUUGCCAAAGCAUGCUCAAUGUAUUUUAAACAGACUUUGCCAAUUUAAUGCCAAAUUUCAUGUUGGCUCUUUGUUCCAACUUCCUAUCCAUGACAAAAUCGCAGACUACAGUAUACACGUGAUCACAAAAACACAAGUUUCACAACUUGCAAAGUAAACACAGUGAUGUCACUCAGUACACUACUAGCUCUCGCUGCGCACGCAACCAUGUGCUGCCACCUGUUGGCAUGCUAUAGAACUAGUCCAGUAACUUUUUGAUACCACCUCAUAGCAAUGCAACAAAAGAGACUGAUUGAAUAUGUACAAGGCUUUUAAAAAACAAAGUACUGGAUCGAUUCAUUGGAUUAAAAAUUCUUUAAAAUGGUGCUCCAGCAUGGCCAGUGUUUGUUUUCAUGAUCAGUUAUAAUAAAAAACAAUUUUACUUUAAUCUGAAAUUUAUAGUUCUUAAAACAAGAAUAUUAAUGACACUAACUUAGAACUUUGGGCCAGGAAACUAACCUCAUGUGCCCUAGGGCUUGAGACAGCAAUGCUCUGGGUAUUAACUUUGUUACUUGGUAAUAAAUAUCUAGUGUGUAACACCUGUUUAUAUUUUUCCUUUUGGUUUUUAAAUUACAAUUCUGUACAUUUUGUUUUAAAUUUUGGAUUCAGUCAUAAGCUAAUAAGGUUCUUUAUUUUUCAGCAAUUCCAAUUGGCAACUCUUAUAUGUAUGGAAUCAGUGUGG